rnacentral:lncRNA from 1 species
GGUGAGGCCGUGGCCUGACCUGAAGACGGUACGUGCAGGACUGGGUCGACGCCCGCCCUGGAAACAGCCAUUUUUAGCUGAAAAAGUAGGGUGAGUGCCGCGCGAUCCUGCCAAUGCCGUUUCGCCCGACACUGCAAAUGUUCUCCGUAGUAGCGGUCCCCAUCUUUUUUUGACAUAAAACAUAGGUAUGCAUGGUAGCUAG